AAGGCAAAGAGGCGCGGCUGGAAGAACCAGACUGAGAAAGUGCCACAGGGCGGGGGCCGCAUCCGCCCCUCGGCUUCUGGUUACUGACCCGACGGCUUUGUGAGUGAAAGUGAAGAGACACUUCGAGGCAGGAGGUCCUGGAACCAAUCCCCUCUGAUACUGAGAGACAACUAUUACACAAGAGAAAUAUUCUACCAUUCACAAAAUCUCGUUUAAGUGUUGUGAAAUACAAACACCAGGGAAUCAAGAACUUUAGAAAAUUGUGGCUGUGUUCCCAUAUGUGGUACAAAGAACCAGUGAGUCCCAUUUGUUGUGGUUCCUGCAUUCGAUGACUCCAGAUGUGCCACCACCGAGCUAGUCUUAUGACAACCUAGAAGGCAAAUUGGGAGAUAUGAACAAAAACAUUGAAAACAACAUAAAUGCCCUUCAACCAAGGAAUGGAGAAAUCACGACAUGUUAAUCCAAGAAAAUGCUAAGUAGUUGCUAAGGAUUAAUGAGCAUGGAUAAAUCUCAGCAACAUAAUACUGAAGG
ensembl:lncRNA SEPTIN7-DT SEPTIN7 divergent transcript